GACGAACGCUGGCGGCGUGGAUUAGGCAUGCAAGUCGAACGGUAGAUAUCCUUCGGGGUAUUGAGAGUGGCGAACGGGUGAGUAACACGUAGGUAAUCUACCCUCAAAUCGGGGACAACCCAGGGGAAACUUGGGCUAAUACCGGAUGAGUGCAGCACCUAAAUCAUCCAUACGGAAUCUGGUUAAGAUUGGGUUUUGUAUGGUUGGGUGAUUUAGGUGCUGUAUAAAAGAUGGCUUCGGCUGUCGUUUGAGGAUGAGCCUGCGCUCUAUUAGUUAGUUGGUGAGGUAAUCGGCUCACCAAGGCGAUGAUAGAUAGGCGGCCUUAACGGGUGGUCGCCCACACUGGGAUUGAGAUACGGCCCAGACUCCUACGGGAGGCAGCAGUCGAGAAUAGUCUACAAUGGACGAAAGUCUGAUAGUGCGACGCCGCGUGAACGAUGAAUCCCUUCGGGGUGUAAAGUUCUUUUAUAUGUGAGCAAUGCCUUAUAUGUGAAUAGC
rnacentral:rRNA from 1 species